CCUACGGGUGGCAGCAGUUUCGAAUUUUUCGCAAUGGGCGAAAGCCUGACGGAGCGACGCCGCGUGGGGGAUGAAGGUCUUCGGAUUGUAAACCCCUGUCAGCUGGGAACAACGCCUGGGUGCCAACACCAUCCAGGUUUGAUAGUACCGGCAGAGGAAGCCGUGGCUAACUCUGUGCCAGCAGCCGCGGUAAUACAGAGACGGCAAGCGUUGUUCGGAUUUAUUGGGCGUAAAGGGUCCGCAGGUGGCGAGGUAAGUCUGACGUGAAAUCCCGCGGCUUAACCGCGGAACUGCAUCGGAAACUGCCUUGCUAGAGGUUGGUAGAGGAGUCUGGAAUUCACGGUGUAGCGGUGAAAUGCGUAGAUAUCGUGAGGAACACCGCUGGCGAAGGCGAGACUCUGGGCCAUACCUGACACUCAGGGACGAAAGCGUGGGGAGCAAACGGGAUUAGAUACCCCAGUAGU
rnacentral:rRNA from 1 species